rfam:Ipomoea nil DNA, scaffold: scaffold0197, cultivar: Tokyo-kokei standard.
CACCGCCCGUCGCUCUUACCGAUUAAAUGGGUGAAGUGUUCGGAUCGCGGCGAUGUGGGUGGUUCGCUGCCCGCGACGUCGCGAGAAGUCCACUGAACCUUAUCAUUUAGAGGAAGGAGAAGUCGUAACAAGGUUUCCGUAGGUGAACCUGCGGAAG